rfam:Gossypium hirsutum cultivar TM-1 chromosome 10, whole genome shotgun sequence
UGUUAAAAUUUUUACAUAUUUGUACAGUUAAAAACGAGCAUGUAUGAUAAAAUAAUUAGACAGUAACAUAUGACAUACUACGUAUAUCACAUGCUAAUGCACAUGAGCGGUUUUUAACAGUAGAAUGGAUGAAAUUUUUAACA